CCUACGGGUGGCAGCAGUGGGGAAUAUUGGGCAAUGGGCGCAAGCCUGACCCAGCAAUGCCGCGUGAAGGAAGAAGGCUUUCGGGUUGUAAACUUCUUUGACAGGGGAAGAGCAGAAGACGGUACCCUGAAAACAAGCCACGGCUAACUACGUGCCAGCAGCCGCGGUAAUACGUAGGUGGCAAGCGUUGUCCGGAUUUACUGGGUGUAAAGGGCGUGUAGCCGGGAAGGCAAGUCAGCGGUAAAAUCGCGGGGCUCAACCUCGCUCCGCCGUUGAAACUGGCGUUCUUGAGUGGGCGAGAAGUAUGCGGAAUGCGUGGUGUAGCGGUGAAAUGCAUAGAUAUCACGCAGAACUCCGAUUGCGAAGGCAGCAUACCGGCGCCCAACUGACGCUGAAGCACGAAAGCGUGGGUAUCGAACAGGAUUAGAUACCCGGGUAGUC
rnacentral:rRNA from 1 species